rnacentral:rRNA from 1 species
AUGAAGGAAGCGGGGAAGGAGAUACGAUCUGAUGAGGAGGUCGCUGGUAGAGGGAGAUCGGGGCGUGACCAAUCCACAGAUGCAAUCGGUGGGGAGGCUGGGGGACUGCAGGGGAGCCAGGCGGAUGAGGAUCUGAAGGAGGAUGACGGGGUGGGCUGGGAUUACUUCGCCCCUGAGCCAACCCUAGAAGACGCGUUUGAAGGCAUGAAUCUGCAUGGAGAGGAAGAAGAAGAUUUAGACCUAUCGGGGGAGGUUGAUGAUCUGAUCAGGGAGGUUCGGUGGUUGGCCUUGUUUAGGGUUCAUACCUUGAGACCCUUUAGUCAUGAUGCUCUGCUAAACUCUAUGCGGAAUGCUUGGGCAUGUGCACAAGGGGUGACUUUCAAUAUUAAGGGCCCGAAUCUAUUUUUGGCUCAAUGUCAUUGUCUUGGUGAUUGGAAAAGGGUGAUGGAGGGAGGGCCAUGGCAGUUUCGAAGAGAUCCAGUUGUUCUUGUGGAGUACGAUGGUUUUACAAAUGUUGCUGAGUAUGCACUGGAUAUGUAUCCAUUAUGGGCUCGUAUCAAAGGAUUACUAGAUGGUCUCACACGGAAGAAGGAGCUGGCGGAGAAGGUAGCAAAGAAAGUUGGAAAUCCCCCAUUCACUGUUGUUGUUAAUGAAGGGAAGAUAAAUCCAUCUAACCACCUUUGGGUGAGAGUUUUUGUGAAUGUUAAGGAGCCACUCGUGAGGUUUGUGCCAAUUACUUUGAAGGAGAGGAAGAAGUACCCUGUUAGUUACGAGAAGCUACCGGAUUUCUGUUUUUUCUGUGGCUGUAUGGGACACGUGGUGGAGGAGUGUGGGGAUGGUAUUCAUGAUCCCAGGUCCUGUGAGUGGGGUGAUUGGCUGCACUGGAGUAAUGAACCCACUGGGGGCGUGGGUGCUGGCAGAGGCGGGAGUUGGGCGGGGUCUGGGAGGGGAGGGGGAAAUACAGGAGCAAGGGGUCGCGGUGGUAGAGGAGAAGGAGCGGGGGCGGAGGUAGAGGUGGCCGGACUUCAGAUAUGGGGCAAGGGAGUGGAACAAACAAUGGGUUCACGAGCGUUGCCUUUGGUCAAGAAGCUGUGA